rnacentral:rRNA from 1 species
GACAGAGGAUGCAAGCGUUAUCCGGAAUGAUUGGGCGUAAAGCGUCUGUAGGUGGCUUUUUAAGUCUGCCGUCAAAUCCCAGGGCUUAACCCUGGACAGGCGGUGGAAACUACCAAGCUGGAGUACGGUAGGGGCAGAGGGAAUUUCCGGUGGAGCGGUGAAAUGCGUAGAGAUCGGGAAGAACAUCGGUGGCGAAAGCGCUCUACUGGACCGCAACUGACACUCAGGGACGAAAGCUAGGGGAGCGAAUGGG